UACGGGGGGGGCAAGCGUUGUUCGGAAUUACUGGGCGUAAAGGGCUCGUAGGCGGCCAACUAAGUCAUACGUGAAAUCCCUCGGCUUAACCGGGGAACUGCGUCUGAUACUGGAUGGCUUGAGUUCGGGAGAGGGAUGCGGAAUUCCAGGUGUAGCGGUGAAAUGCGUAGAUAUCUGGAGGAACACCGGUGGCGAAGGCGGCAUCCUGGACCGAUACUGACGCUGAGGAGCGAAGGCCAAGGGAGCAAACGGG
rnacentral:rRNA from 1 species